AGGUAGAGGGUGUGGGUGGUGUGCCGUUUUUGGUUCGUCUUUUCCCGGCGCGUCGCGACCUAGGCCUGCUCGAUCGUCUCCCCUAUAUCUGCAGUACCCACGAACCGCCAGAGCCGUUGAGUCGUGCGAGCACGAUCACCGUCAUGAUAAUGACAACAAGAUACCUCAGUUACUGCGGUUAACGAGACGACAAGUACCAUUGUGGUGUCUAGCUGUAAGGGACGAGCCAAAGUUUCUCCCGUAGUGUCUCCUGGGCUGUCCUCGGAACAUGAGAACCUCACUGUUGUAGGUGUUAAUAUACACCAACCCUCAGUUGACGUCGUGUGCCGUGGGUCCUGGGUAAUGCCACGAACUGGAGAUGUUAGACUUCGAACCGCCCGGUUUAGUGUGGUAGAGAUCCUUUGGACUGGAAGGAAUCUAGAGAACUAGAUCCUAGUUUAGCCAAAUGACCUGUCAACGGGGGAGAACCGGCAGGAUCUUUUAAUUCCUGGAAUCGGAUCCACUGUUGAAUAACGUGCCCUUGUAAGGUCUGCGUGAAUGUUUAACAAGGUUUGAGGUCAAGGAUUGUAUCCAAGGGAGAGGUUAAAUAAUCCAAACAUAGAAAGCGUUUUGUUGGAGUGGCCUUUAUAGGGCGGUUGGAAGUCGUUGUAGUGAGUGAAUCUUCUUAAUCAGGAAAGUCUUUUAGUCGAGCUCCCUUCGUAAGGAGUUCUCGAACCCGUUAACGGUCUAUACCGUACCCGUAAAAAACUACCUUUACCAGAUAGCCCAUCAUAAGGUAGUUGUAACAAGUUAGAUAGUGUAGAAUUUCGUGAUUUGAACUCAUGUUUAUACAAUUCGCCGGGUGAUGGUGGGCUGUGGCCACUUUGACCGGUUUUUAUCCAACCUUCCGGUGUAGGGUCUAAGUGAUCCGUUACGAAGUUACGACCUUUGCGAUCUAAAAGAAUCGAAAUUAGAACUACGUACAAGACGUAUAAAUCACAACCUUAAAACGAUCAUCCGGAAACCGGGUUUCGGGUUUAUUUUAAGACUUUAAGAGAACUGGGUAAGUACGUGUGUACACUUACCUCACUCACUCCGAUUUCAAAUCAGAGUAGAGUAUUCAACUCUCUCUCAACGUGGAAAAAUAUUCCACUCGAGAAGAUGGUGAACAUACUCGUACUCUUCUCCUCUGGAUGUGUGCGCGAGGAGGAGGAGCGAGCGGAGCAGUGCUGCGUGGCGCGGCGCGGCGCCCAACGCCUUAACUUGGCUCGGCCCCUGUCUCGAUACGUACAACAGAUAUAAAAACGACAAGCCCUUUUUAAUUACUCAGUAAUUAAUUAUUAAUUACCUACGUAAUUAAUGACUUGGCAAAAACUAAAAAAACCUAGCACUGCUGAGCCUGCACCCCAAAUGAUAUGCCCUCUCACCGCUAGUCCAAAAAACCUUCGCGUGAGCGCGCUGACGACCGUCAGUGCUGAAGCGCUUGCUGCUGAAGAAGGGGCUGGAGCCGUUGGAGUAGGAGCUGCUGUGCCCGCUGUUGCAGUUGCGGCCGCCAUGACGAGGACGACGUGGCUAUCUAAUCUCUCAUCGAUCAGGCCAUUUCGAAGUCGCCUCUGUGCGCCUCUUCUACUCUACAGUCCGACGGCACACUGUGCCGCUCGUGCUGCUCUACAGCUACAACGACACUCUA
rnacentral:rRNA from 1 species